AUUGAACGCUGGCGGCAUGCUUUACACAUGCAAGUCGAACGGCAGCGCGGGCUUCGGCCUGGCGGCGAGUGGCGAACGGGUGAGUAAUACAUCGGAACGUGCCCAGUAGUGGGGGAUAGCUCGGCGAAAGCCGGAUUAAUACCGCAUACGACCUGAGGGUGAAAGCGGGGGAUCUUCGGACCUCGCGCUAUUGGAGCGGCCGAUGGCAGAUUAGCUAGUUGGUGGGGUAAAGGCCUACCAAGGCGACGAUCUGUAGCUGGUCUGAGAGGAAGAACAGCCACACGGGGACUGAGGCACGGCCCAGACUCCUACGGGAGGCAGCAGUGGGGAAUUUUGGACAAUGGGCGAAAGCCUGAUCCAGCAAUGCCGCGUGUGUGAUGAAGGCCUUCGGGUUGUAAAGCACUUUUGGCGGGAACGAAAAGGACUGUGCCAAUACCACGGUUCGAUGACGGUACCCGCAGAAUAAGCACCGGCUAACUACGUG
rnacentral:rRNA from 1 species